rnacentral:rRNA from 1 species
UACGUAGGGGUCGAGCGUUGUCCGGAGUUACUGGGCGUAAAGCGCGCGCAGGUGGCUCAUUACGCCCGGCGUGAAAGCCCCCGGCUCAACCGGGGAGGGUCGUCGGGGACGGGUGAGCUUGAGGGUAUCAGGGGCUGGUAGAAUUCCCGGUGUAGUGGUGAAAUGCGUAGAGAUCGGGAGGAAUACCCGUGGCGAAGGCGGCCAGCUGGGAUACACCUGACACUGAGGCGCGAAGGCGUGGGGAGCGAAC